CCUACGGGAGGCAGCAGUGGGGAAUAUUGCACAAUGGGGGAAACCCUGAUCCAGCGACGCCGCAUGAGUGAAGAAGUAUUUCGGUAUGUAAAGCUCUAUCAGCAGGGAAGAAAAUGACGGUACCUGAUUAAGAAGCCCCGGCUAACUACGUGCCGGCAGCCGCGGUAAUACGUAGGGGGCAGGCGUUAUCCGGAUUUACUGGGUGUAAAGGGGGCGCAGUCGGCAGUGCAAGUAUGGAGUGAAAGCCCGGGGCCCAACCACGGAACUGCUUGGGAAACUGGGUGGCGAGAGUACGGGAGGGGCAGGCGGAAUUCCUAGUGGAGCGGUGAAAGGCGUAGAUAUUAGGAGGAACACCAGUGGCGAAGGCGGCCUGCUGGACAGUAACUGACGUUGAGGCUCGAAAGCGUGGGGAGCAAACAGGAUUAGAUACCCUGGUAGUC
rnacentral:rRNA from 1 species